rnacentral:rRNA from 1 species
UACGGGGGGGGCAAGCGUUGUUCGGAAUUACUGGGCGUAAAGGGCUCGUAGGCGGCCAACUAAGUCAGACGUGAAAUCCCCGGGCUCAACCCGGGAACUGCGUCCGAUACUGGAAGGCUUGAAUCCGGGAGAGGGAUGUGGAAUUCCAGGUGUAGCGGUGAAAUGCGUAGAUAUCUGGAGGAACACCGGUGGCGAAGGCGACAUCCUGGACCGGUAUUGACGCUGAGACGCGAAAGCGUGGGGAGCAAACAGG